ensembl:lncRNA KC6 keratoconus gene 6
AAUCUCGUGGUGCACCGUUUUUCUUAAGCCGGUCCGAAAAGCGCAAUAUUCGGUUGGGAGUGACCCGAUUUUCCAGAGAUAUGGAUAUGAGAGGCAUUCCUCCACAGAAGAGGCUUAACCACUUUGGCCCUUGAGAUCUUUACUUGAUCAAAACUUCUACAAGCGUGCUGGCAUGCUGGAGUCAGCUAGAAUUGGAUUGCCAGAGCCUGUUGUGUGCACCUGUCCCCAACUCUGUCCAGUGACCUCAGCCUCCUUUCACAGAGACUGAAUUUCAAUCAGCUGCUCUCAGUUGACAAUGAUAAAAUUAUCUCUAUAUGGGCAAAUGCGUGCUCUUUGUCGAAAAAGAAAGCUUCAGCUUCAUGUUCCAGGUGAGUUAAUUAGGCAAUGUAUGAAUGCUAAUAUCUCUUUCACAUAUUUUGCUUAAGAUCUGUCUUAGGACUCUCGUCUGGCCCAUAUGGUUUUCCAAGGGCAGAAGGGCCUCUUUUUGAUGAGAGGCAGUUUUCAGUAACUCUUAAAGUGAUAACAGCAAAGGAGAGGAGAGAGAAGA